rnacentral:rRNA from 1 species
GACGAACGCUGGCGGCGUGCUUAACACAUGCAAGUCGAACGGAAAGGCCCUGCUUUUGUGGGGUGCUCGAGUGGCGAACGGGUGAGUAACACGUGAGUAACCUGCCCUUGACUUUGGGAUAACUUCAGGAAACUGGGGCUAAUAACGGAUAGGAGCUCCUGAUGCAUGGUGGGGGUUGGAAAGUUUCGGCGGUUGGGGAUGGACUCGCGGCUUAUCAGCUUGUUGGUGGGGUAGUGGCUUACCAAGGCUUUGACGGGUAGCCGGCCUGAGAGGGUGACCGGCCACAUUGGGACUGAGCUACGGCCCAGACUCCUACGGGAGGCAGCAGUGGGGAAUAUUGCACAAUGGGCGGAAGCCUGAUGCAGCAACGCCGCGUGCGGGAUGACGGCCUUCGUGUUGUAAACCGCUUUCGCCUGUGACGAAGCGUGAGUGACGGUAAUGGGUAAAGAAGCACCGGCUAACUACGUG